rnacentral:rRNA from 1 species
ACCAGACUCCUACGGGAGGCAGCAGUGAGGAAUAUUGGUCAAUGGGCGCAAGCCUGAACCAGCCAAGUCGCGUGAGGGAUGACGGUCCUAUGGAUUGUAAACCUCUUUUGUCGGGGAGCAAGGCCCGCCACGUGUGGCGGGAAGGAGAGUACCCGAAGAAAAAGCAUCGGCUAACUACGUGCCAGCAGCCGCGGUAAUACGUAGGGGGCAAGCGUUAUCCGGAUUUACUGGGUGUAAAGGGAGCGUAGACGGCGAUGCAAGUCAGAAGUGAAAGCCCGCGGCUCAACUGCGGGACUGCUUUUGAAACUGUAUAGCUUGAGUACAGGAGAGGAAAGCGGAAUUCCUAGUGUAGCGGUGAAAUGCGUAGAUAUUAGGAAGAACACCAGUGGCGAAGGCGGCUUUCUGGACUGAAACUGACGCUGAGGCACGAAAGCGUGGGGAGCGAACAGGAUUAGAUACCCCCGUAA